AUUUCUCUUUGCCAAGGAGAAGAUGCGGGUUCGAUCCCCGCUAUCCGCCCAUGAUGAAGUAAUGUACUAUG
rnacentral:tRNA from 14 species